AGACCCGAAACCCGGUGAUCUAGCCAUGGGCAGGUUGAAGGUUGGGUAACACUAACUGGAGGACCGAACCGACUAAUGUUGAAAAAUUAGCGGAUGACCUGUGGCUGGGGGUGAAAGGCCAAUCAAACCGGGAGAUAGCUGGUUCUCCCCGAAAGCUAUUUAGGUAGCGCCUCGUGAAUUCAUCUCCGGGGGUAGAGCACUGUUUCGGCUAGGGGGCCAUCCCGGCUUACCAACCCGAUGCAAACUGCGAAUACCGGAGAAUGUUAUCACGGGAGACACACGGCGGGUGCUAACGUCCGUCGUGAAGAGGGAAACAACCCAGACCGCCAGCUAAGGUCCCAAAGUCAUGGUUAAGUGGGAAACGAUGUGGGAAGGCCCAGACAGCCAGGAUGUUGGCUUAGAAGCAGCCAUCAUUUAAAGAAAGCGUAAUAGCUCACUGGUCGAGUCGGCCUGCGCGGAAGAUGUAACGGGGCUAAACCAUGCACCGAAGCUGCGGCAGCGACACUCAGGUGUUGUUGGGUAGGGGAGCGUUCUGUAAGCCUGUGAAGGUGGCCUGUGAGGGUUGCUGGAGGUAUCAGAAGUGCGAAU
rnacentral:rRNA from 1 species